UACGAAGGGGGCUAGCGUUGCUCGGAAUUACUGGGCGUAAAGCGCACGUAGGCGGCUUCUUAAGUCGAUGGUGAAAUCCUGGAGCUCAACUCCAGAACUGCCUUCGAUACUGGGGAGCUCGAGUUCGGGAGAGGUGAGUGGAACUGCGAGUGUAGAGGUGAAAUUCGUAGAUAUUCGCAAGAACACCAGUGGCGAAGGCGGCUCACUGGCCCGAUACUGACGCUGAGGUGCGAAAGCGUGGGGAGCAAACAGG
rnacentral:rRNA from 1 species